rnacentral:rRNA from 1 species
AUGCACGCUGGCGGCGUGCCUAAUACCUGCAAGUCGAGCGAACAGACGAGGAGCUUGCUCCUCUGACGUUAGCGGCGGACGGGUGAGUAACACGUGGAUAACCUACCUAUAAGACUGGGAUAACUUCGGGAAACCGGAGCUAAUACCGGAUAAUAUAUUGAACCGCAUGGUUCAAUAGUGAAAGACGGUUUUGCUGUCACUUAUAGAUGGAUCCGCGCCGCAUUAGCUAGUUGGUAAGGUAACGGCUUACCAAGGCAACGAUGCGUAGCCGACCUGAGAGGGUGAUCGGCCACACUGGAACUGAGACACGGUCCAGCCUCCUACGGGAGGCAGCAGUAGGGAAUCUUCCGCAAUGGGCGAAAGCCUGACGGAGCAACGCCGCGUGAGUGAUGAAGGUCUUCGGAUCGUAAAACUCUGUUAUUAGGGAAGAACAAAUGUGUAAGUAACUAUGCACGUCUUGACGGUACCUAAUCAGAAAGCCACGGCUAACUACGUG